rnacentral:rRNA from 1 species
AGGGUUUGAUCAUGGCUCAGGAUGAACGCUAGCGACAGGCUUAACACAUGCAAGUCGAGGGGCAGCGGGGAGUAGCAAUACUUUGCCGGCGACCGGCGCACGGGUGAGUAACGCGUAUGCAACCUGCCUAUCAGAGGGGAAUAACCCGGCGAAAGUCGGACUAAUACCGCAUAAAACAGGGGUCCCGCAUGGGAAUAUUUGUUAAAGAGUUAUCGCUGAUAGAUGGGCAUGCGUUCCAUUAGAUAGUUGGUGGGGUAACGGCCCACCAAGUCCACGAUGGAUAGGGGUUCUGAGAGGAAGGUCCCCCACACUGGUACUGAGACACGGACCAG